GGGAGGCACCAGCAGGGGAGAAGCCAGAGCCAGUGAGGACUCACCUCCGCAAUAUGAUCAUUGUCCCUGAAAUGAUCGGGAGCGUGAUUGGUGUGUACAAUGGGAAAACGUUCAACCAAGUUGAGAUCAAGCCAGAGAUGAUUGGUCACUACCUGGCUGAAUUUUCCAUUUCAUACAAGCCUGUGAAGCACGGUAGGCCUGGUAUUGGUGCUACUCACUCCUCUAGGUUCAUUCCUCUCAAGUGAAGUGUGUGUUACAGUUUCACUCAGAAGUGCUUCAUUGUCCUUACUACCGCUCUUCUGAGGCUUCUAUCUAUGUCUCUGUAGCCAGUUUUUCAAAUGUAGUCGGAGGGAUAUGUACUCGUUACCUAUUAUCUUCUAUGUAGGAGUGGAUGGUUUUGGGGUGUUUCUGGAAUUGUUCAUGAAUCAUCAGCUAGCAUUAUCUUGGAUCACCGCAUCCUUAAUCUGGGUUUUCUCGAAUUCGCUAGCAGACUUGUUACUGGUCUUGAUCAUUGGAGCAGACGUUUUACUGUUCUUGUUC
rnacentral:lncRNA from 1 species